rnacentral:rRNA from 1 species
GGGGGGGGGWGAGGAGARGKGSKRGWGWYGUGAGGGUUUCCGCCCUUCAGUGCCGGAGCUAACGCAUUAAGCACUCCGYYUGGGGAGUACGACCGCAAGGUUGAAACUCAAAGGAAUUGACGGGGGCCCGCACAAGCGGUGGAGCAUGUGGUUUAAUUCGAAGCUACGCGAAGAACCUUACCAGGUCUUGACAUCUUGCGCCAACCCUAGAGAUAGGGCGUUUCCUUCGGGAACGCAAUGACAGGUGGUGCAUGGUCGUCGUCAGCUCGUGUCGUGAGAUGUUGGGUUAAGUCCCGCAACGAGCGCAACCCUUGUUACUAGUUGCCAGCAUUAAGUUGGGCACUCUAGUGAGACUGCCGGUGACAAACCGGAGGAAGGUGGGGAUGACG